rnacentral:rRNA from 1 species
GUAAGACUGGGAUAACUCCGGGAAACCGGGGCUAAUACCGGAUGGUUGUCUGAACCGCAUGGUUCAGACAUAAAAGGUGGCUUCGGCUACCACUUACAGAUGGACCCGCGGCGCAUUAGCUAGUUGGUGAGGUAACGGCUCACCAAGGCGACGAUGCGUAGCCGACCUGAGAGGGUGAUCGGCCACACUGGGACUGAGACACGGCCCAGACUCCUACGGGAGGCAGCAGUAGGGAAUCUUCCGCAAUGGACGAAAGUCUGACGGAGCAACGCCGCGUGAGUGAUGAAGGUUUUCGGAUCGUAAAGCUCUGUUGUUAGGGAAGAACAAGUGCCGUUCAAAUAGGGCGGCACCUUGACGGUACCUAACCAGAAAGCCACGGCUAACUACGUGCCAGCAGCCGCGGUAAUACGUAGGUGGCAAGCGUUGUCCGGAAUUAUUGGGCGUAAAGGGCUCGCAGGCGGUUUCUUAAGUCUGAUGUGAAAGCCCCCGGCUCAACCGGGGAGGGUCAUUGGAAACUGGGGAACUUGAGUGCAGAAGAGGAGAGUGGAAUUCCACGUGUAGCGGUGAAAUGCGUAGAGAUGUGGAGGAACACCAGUGGCGAAGGCGACUCUCUGGUCUGUAACUGACGCUGAGGAGCGAAAGCGUGGGGAGCGAACAGGAUUAGAUACCCUGGUAGUCCACGCCGUAAACGAUGACUGCUAAGUGCUACGGGGUUUCCGCCCCUUAGUGCUGCAGCUAACGCAUUAAGCACUCCGCCUGGGGAGUACGGUCGCCAGACUGAAACUCAAAGGAAUUGACGGGGGCCCGCACAACCGGUGGAGCAUGCGG